rnacentral:tRNA from 1 species
GAGGACGUGGUGGAACUGGUAGACACAUCAGACUUAAAAUCUGGCGGCUUCGGCCUUGCGGGUUCGAUUCCCGCCGUCCUCACCA